rnacentral:lncRNA from 1 species
GCAUAAUUCACAUGAAAUGUUCAUAUUUAUUUCAAUCACAAAUACGUUAAUGUGGUAUAAAACAGUCAAAUAAGGUCUUAAUUAAUCUGCUAUUCCCGAAACACAUCAAUUUGUGAACUUUCCAUUUCUAUAUAUCAACCUGCAUACAGAGUAUAUAUAUCCCAGUCGAUCCGAUAUUUCAGGGCUACUUUUUCAUGUCAUGAGCAACACGACGGGUGCCACAUGUGCUCACCACUACGGAGCACCUAAUACCCCCCAGUUUUUGACUAGGUUCUUGUUGCUGAGUCUUUAGUUUCUAUGUCACUGAUGAGUCUUUUGUAGACGAAACGCGCGUCUGGCGUAUAUAUAAAAUUUAGUCCUGGUAUAUAUGAUGAGUUUAUCUUUUGCCUCUUUUUGUGUGCGCAUAUAACUCGAAUCUGGCUUGUGAUUACUACGAACCUGUUAUAGUAGGGUGCCCAGUAUCGAAAAAGACGUCUAGUUAACGAGUUU